rnacentral:misc_RNA from 1 species
AAUAUGUUGGAAUAUUUGUCAACGAUCUCUUUUAAUUUACCUAAAAUACCUGUUUUUGCAGAGGAAAGAAUGUUUUCUAACGAAACGUCGAUCUUUAGAACUACGAACUAAACUAAUGUAUUUUUACGUAGUCUUGGUGUCGUUAUUUGUUAUUGAAUUGACUGAGGAGAAAUAUAUUUCUAUACUAACACACUUCUUCGAAUAACAAAGGAUAAAUUAAAAAAAGUAUAAUUUCCUAUAAAAAGAAUCAACACUAUAUUACCCUCCUAAAAUGGACAAUGACUAUUCAACAACCAUUGAUAGAUUCAACACUUUUUCGUUCUUUCCCCAUUCAAAUUUUAACUUUAAGAAUUUAUCAAUAAUGGGAUUUUAUUUUACUGGGAGAAGAACUGAAAUAAAAUGCUAUUGUUGUCAAUUAGUAGUGAAUGAUUGGACUAUUGAAGACACUCUUAAUGAGCAAGCAGUUUUGAAGAAACAUUUAACAGAAUCUCCAAAAUGUUCAAAUGCUAACAAACUAUACAUUACUCAUAAUAGUCAAUAUCUACAUCAAGAUGUUCAACCGUUUACAAUAAAUGUGAAUGAAGUCUUACAAAAGGCAGAUCUAAGCAUUGUAUCUAAUAGAUUGAAGACAUUCAUUAGUUGGUCAGCUAAAAAUGCACAAAGUCCGCCCGAGCUUGCAAAAUGUGGUUUUGUGUUUAUUGGUCCUGAGGAGUCUGAUAGAGUUCAGUGUGUUUAUUGUUUAGUAGUCUUGACAUCAUGGAAUUCAUCAGAUACUGUGAGAGGGGAACAUGCGAGGCAUAGUGAAAAUUGUCCAAUGGUGACUAACAAUUUUGAUGAAAAUAUAGUAAAAAUGAAUCAUCAACCGAAAAUGGGUAUACACGUGUUUGAAAGUGCUGCUGAGGUACUGGGCGUUAACGAUCAGCCAAUGUUAGAGAAAAUUUCUUCAGAGGAGAUUGCAUAUUCAAAUAUGAAACCAGGAACUCCAUCGAAAAGUUUAUUCAUAAAGCGCUUAGAAACAUUCGAAUAUUGGUCUUCAUCGAUACCUCAAAAACCAAAAGAUUUAGCCAAGGCGGGAUUCUUUUUUCUAAAAGGGACAUACGAUAUUGUACAAUGCUUUUGGUGCGGUUUGAGAUUAUUUAAUUGGGAACCACAAGACGAUCCUCUAAGAGAACAUGAACGACACCACCGAAACUGCAAAUACCUUCAGGAUCGAUUAAGAGAGAGAAUGAAUGAAGAAAUGCAAAACGUUUCGUUAAAUGAGGAAGCUAUAUCAAUUCAAGAAACUAAUAUCUUACCUCAAGAUAUGCAAGAUAUCAAUAAGGAAGACGAACAGGGUUUGUGUAAACUAUGCUUUUCGAAAAAAAGAGACACACUAUUUUUGCCCUGCAAACAUCUUAUCGCCUGCAACGAAUGUUCAAUAAACAUUAUCAGUGAAGAGACUUCGUUGUGUCCCUAUUGUAGAGCAACUAUUAAAGGAACAGUUCUGGUUUAUCUGUGAAUGUUCCUGGUGGAAACCUUUUAUCAUUAAAUCUGCCUUGUUUUUAAUAAUUUGUUCUGAAAUCACAUCUACAAUUGGGAAGAAGAGAGAAAAGCAAGUGGAAGAGAAGAAAUCUAUAAAUAUAAUAAAGUUCUUAUUAUAAACAAGAGAUCCUUAUUCAUGGCUGUGUGAUGCACAUAUCUAUUACCAUAGAUGUAGCUAACUCGCUAAAUUCUCAAUAAUAACCGUAUUAAAAUAAUAUGGGACUAAGAUUAGAUUAUCUUCGUAUUUAUUGUCUCUAACUGUGUUCAAUAUUUUUUGUACUCGAUUUAUUUGAACUCUUUGUUUGCUAAUCGAUAACGUUUUUUCUUCAUAAAUCUAUAGAUACGUCAGUUACAAAAAACCCAACUUAUCGAAGGUUCUUAUGAAUUCUUUAAAUUUUUAUAUUCUUUUUCUUUUUUGAAUAUAAGCAAAUAACCAAGUUUUUGGAGUUUGGUAUAAUUUCCUCUUUCAGACGUCCGGCUUUUAAAAAAGUCUACUGACAAAUAAAAAUUGAAUAGUAGAAAAUUCUUAAAAGCAAUAUAUGCAAUUUUUAAAUAGUAUAGUAACAGUUUGGAAUUAUUCAUGUCGGGUUUAAAAGGAUUUUAUUACUAAACGAACACAUUGUUUGACCACUUGGGCCUACAGUCAUUUGAUACAAUGAAAUUACGUAAUUAAAGCAAUUUUGAGUUUAAGUAUACAGU